rfam:Candidatus Yanofskybacteria bacterium RIFCSPHIGHO2_01_FTLL_48_25b rifcsphigho2_01_scaffold_995, whole genome shotgun sequence.
GUUGCAGUCUAGACAAUCGCCGUGAAGAACCCGCCUUCGCCUAAUGGCUUUGGCGAGGCGCUUCGCGGAGGAAAGUCCGAGCACUACUUUGGCUUCGGCCAUAGAGAACGGUAGCAGGUAACCCCUGUCCCCGGCAAUUGUCGGAAGAGGUGCGAGCAGAGACGUCCCGAGUUGAAAAAUAAGGGAAGGCAAACCCAGAGUUUUCUUAACAAAAUUAUGAAAACCGAGCUUAGCUUCGAUCAGGGGUGAAAAGAUCGAAGGUGAAACGGCUAAAUCCUUACUGGAGUGCAAGAUCAGCGUUCCCGGCACUUUCUUUGAAAUCUUAGAAAGUGCCGGGUUCGAAAAGUUAGAUCGCUUGAGGUCAAUGGCGACAUUGAUCCUAGAUAAAUGAUUGUCAUCCGGCAAUCGCCGGAACAGAACUCGGCUUAUUGACUGCAGAACCC